UAAGAAAGGAGAGAUUCGUCGUCCAUCCGGAUCUGGAAUAAUUUAUCAACAAACGCAAGAGUUGAUGCCGAUGAUGUGCGCCGCCUAACAACCCCGAAUCGUUCCCCGAGGAAUAAUUAGCCGCCGCAAGGUGCAUCCCCCUCAAUUGCUACCGCCGCUGCUUCUACUUCCCGUGAGUGCGAACAAUGAUGGUGUCGGUGGAGGUGAUGAAGAGGAAAAGAACGACCUUGACGGUGAGCCCUAGGAAGUUCGGAAGGAGAAUGUGCCACCAAUGCAGGAAGGCACGCGUUUCCACCAUUCUGUGCUCCAGUUGCAGGAGCAGAAGCUACUGCGCCUCUUGCAUCCGGCUCUGGUAUCCGCAUAUGCCCGAUGAUAUGGUAGCAAAGGCCUGUCCUUUCUGCCGUGAAAGAUGCAAUUGUCUUAUUUGCUUGAGGGAGAGUAGCUCGUCUUUGGUUUUAACCAAUGAUGUGGGCAAAUCUGACAAGAUUAAAUAUGCUGGUUACAUGUUGCACUAUCUACUGCCUGGUCUAAAACGAUUGAACCAAGAACAGUUUAUGGAGAUGAAGAUAGAGGCCAAGAUCAGAGGAAUUCAAAUGUGUGACCUGCAACCAGAUUAUGCAAUUUGUGGAAGGGAUGAACGGAUUUUCUGCGACAAUUGUAGAACUUCCAUCUUCGACCUUCACAGAAGUUGUUCAAGUUGUUCAUAUGACUUGUGUCUUGGAUGUUGUCGCGAUAUCCGUGAUAAUAACCUUCAAGCAUCGGGUGAGCAAAUGACAUUCAAUUUUCUUAACAGAGGUCAAGAUUACAUGCAUGGUGGGCAGCCACAAAAUUUCACUAAUAAAAAAGAGGAUAGCUUGCUUAAUGAUUCAGAUCAUUUUACUAGCUGGAAAGUGAAUGCAAGUGGAAUCAUUCCGUGUCCUCAUACAUUGGUUGGUGGAUGUGGUGUUUCUCAUCUUGAAUUGAAACACCUGUUUCCUAAGAAUUUCUUGGUUGAUUUGGAACUACAAGCAGAGGAAUCAAUCAAAAUCUUUGGUCCAACCCAUACAUAUAAUUCUAUUGAAAAAGUCGAGAGUGUGUGUGCAUGUUCCACAACAAAAAAUUCAAGGAGAGCUUCUUUCAGAAGGAAUGAUAUGGAUAAUUACUUAUAUAGUCCAUUGGCAAGUGAUAUUAAGAAUGGUGAUCAAAAGCACUUCCGGAGGCAUUGGCUAAACGGAGAACCAGUCAUUAUUAGGGGAGUGCUUGAGGAAUCACGUUUGAUCUGGGAGCCAUCACAUAUGUGGAGUACAAUGUUUAAGAGUAAUAUUCCAACUGAUUUAUCACGUGUACGGGCUACUGAUUGUUUAGCUUGCUGCGAGGUAGAAAUAGAUCCUCAGCUAUUUUUCGAAGGAUACACAAAGGGAAGGGUGUAUAGUAAUAUGUGGCCUGAGAUGCUCAAAUUGAAGGAUUGGCCAACUUCCAGCAAUUUGGAGGAUUUGUUACCAAGCCAUGGAAUUGAGUAUAUUAAUGUGUUACCUCUUCAAGAAUAUACAAAUCCACAUAAUGGUUCAUUGAACGUUGCUGCUGCACUUCCCAAAGAUGUAUUAAAGUUGGAUGUGGGACCAAAAUCAUACAUUGCAUAUGGAAUUGAAGAAGAGCUUGAGAGGGGAGAUUCAGUAACCAAGAUUCACUGUGAUGUCUCUGAUGCAGUAAAUAUAUUAAUGCACACUAGUGAAGUAAUACUUUCUCGGAAGCAAAAAGCUGCAAUAAAAGUUCUAAAGAGAAGGCACAAAGCUCAAGAUUUAAUGGAGCAACUUCAAGAUGUUAAUGUUGAUGAGGCUGAAAUGAAUCAAGAUUGGAGAGAAGAGAUAGACUGUAUAGUUCCAGAGCUGACAGAUGAUUUUAAGGGUUCAAUAGAAAAUGCAGGAGCUUUAUGGGAUAUCUUUAGGAGAGAAGAUGUUCCUUCUUUACAAGCUUACCUCAAGAAUCAUUCAAAAGAAUUCCGACAUGUUUAUUGUUCUCCAGUUGAACAGGUAUUUAAUCCCAUCCAUGAUGAAACAUUUUACCUGACUAGAAAACACAAAAGGAAGCUCAAGGAGGAAUUUGGAAUUGAACCAUGGACUUUCACACAACAACUUGGUGAAGCUGUUUUUAUUCCUGCUGGAUGUCCUCACCAAGUGAGAAAUUUGAAGGUACAAAGUCAUGUACCAAGAUUGCAAUAGACUUUGUUUCACCAGAAAAUAUUGAUCAGUGCAUCCAUUUAACUGAGGACUUCAGAUUGCUUCCGAAAAAUCACAGAGCCAAAGAAGACAAACUAGAGAUGUGAUGCAUGUCUAAAAUCACGAACCAUAAGCUAAAUAGUUCAAACUACUUGGAUUGGAGUAAGGCUAUUCGCCUCUAUCUACGAAGUAUUGAUAAAGAUGAUCAUUUGACUGAUAAUCCUCCUAAAGAUGAUUCAAAGCAGAUAUGGCUUACAGAGGAUGUUCGCUUGUUCCUUCAGAUUCGGAGUUCUAUUGAUAGUGAGGUAAUUGGUUUGAUCAAUCACUGUGAAUUUGUGAAAGAACUGAUGGAUUAUCUAAAAUGUUUGUACUCUAGAAAAGGAAAUCCCUCCCGCAUAUAUGACGUAUGCAAAGCCUUUUACUAUGUGGAAAAACAAAAUCAGUCUCUGAUAAAUUCCUUUAUGGCAUUCAAGAAGGCAUGAGGAGCUUAAAAUGUUUCUACCCUUUAGCUUGAAGGUUCAACAACGUCAACGAGAGCAAAUGACUA